rnacentral:lncRNA from 1 species
UGCAUGUUUUCCCCUUACUUCUGACUUCUAAAUCCUUUUGUUGACUGGAUUAUUUUUCUUUGCCAGAUUUUCAGCUGAUUUAUGCUCUUCCGAGAGGUCCCAACACAUCCUCCACCUUUCCUCGGCUUUGGGAGCACAUGCUUAACCUGUAAUCAGCAUGACUCAAAACAGCAUCUGUCUCUGGAGCAAAAAGAAAUAAUGAUGUGCUCUGUUCUGCUGCUCCCUGUUCAAAGGGGGAUCAUACUGGGAGGCAAGAGUUGCUGA